rnacentral:lncRNA from 1 species
UUAUAAAAAUUAAAGAUCAUAUUUACAGUUCAGUAUACAUAGAGAUCCCUCAGUAAUAUCAGAUGGAAUGAGAUACUCUGAUGGAAAAGCAAAGGAUUUUGUUAUUCAUUAUCAUCUGUAAUCUAGCAUAUCGUAUUACUAUGAUUAUUGUCAGCAUUGGAUUUAAACCCAUGUUAAAUUGAAAUCAUGCAAUUGAAGUACCAUGUAAAUAGAGAGUUAGGUGAACAGUGGAUUGUGUGUUUGGCACAAAGAUACAAUAGGAACACACUGCAAUUAAAUUGGCGAAUCUUCCUGUCUACGAAAAGUUCUUCACUUUUUUGGAGCCGUACUCUAUCUAUAAGCCAUACUCUUUUUUUAAUAAAUUUUUCCAAAAAAUUUUUUGGCUUAUAUGUUAGCAUAUGCAGUAU